rnacentral:rRNA from 1 species
AGUCGAGCGGAACGAUGGUAGCUUGCUACCAGGCGUCGAGCGGCGGACGGGUGAGUAAUGCUUAGGAAUCUGCCCAGUAGUGGGGGAUAGCCCGGGGAAACCCGGAUUAAUACCGCAUACGCCCUUUUGGGGAAAGCAGGGGAUCUUCGGACCUUGCGCUAUUGGAUGAGCCUAAGUCGGAUUAGCUAGUUGGUGGGGUAAAGGCUCACCAAGGCGACGAUCCGUAGCUGGUCUGAGAGGAUGAUCAGCCACAUCGGGACUGAGACACGGCCCGAACUCCUACGGGAGGCAGCAGUGGGGAAUAUUGGACAAUGGGGGCAACCCUGAUCCAGCCAUGCCGCGUGUGUGAAGAAGGCUUUCGGGUUGUAAAGCACUUUCAGUGAGGAGGAAGGCCUUAAGAUUAAUACUCUUAAGGAUUGACGUCACUCACAGAAGAAGCACCGGCUAACUCCGUGCCAGCAGCCGCGGUAAUACGGAGGGUGCAAGCGUUAAUCGGAAUUACUGGGCGUAAAGCGCGCGUAGGUGGUUGAGUAAGCGAGAUGUGAAAGCCCCGGGCUUAACCUGGGAACGGCAUUUCGAACUGCUCGACUAGAGUGUGGUAGAGGGUAGUGGAAUUUCCUGUGUAGCGGUGA